rnacentral:rRNA from 1 species
CUACGGGCGGCUCCAGUGGGGAAUAUUGCACAAUGGGCGCAAGCCUGAUGCAGCCAUGCCGCGUGUAUGAAGAAGGCCUUCGGGUUGUAAAGUACUUUCAGCGGGGAGGAAGGGAGUAAAGUUAAUACCUUUGCUCAUUGACGUUGCCCGCAGAAGAAGCACCGGCUAACUCCGUGCCAGCAGCCGCGGUAAUACGGAGGGUGCAAGCGUUAAUCGGAAUUACUGGGCGUAAAGCGCACGCAGGCGGUUUGUUAAGUCAGAUGUGAAAUCCCCGGGCUCAACCCGGGAACUGCAUCUGAUACUGGCAAGCUUGAGUCUCGUAGAGGGGGGUAGAAUUCCAGGUGUAGCGGUGAAAUGCGUAGAGAUCUGGAGGAAUACCGGUGGCGAAGGCGGCCCCCUGGACGAAGACUGACGCUCAGGUGCGAAAGCGUGGGGAGCAAACAGGAUUAGAUACCCCGGUAGUC